rnacentral:rRNA from 1 species
UACAGAGGUCUCAAGCGUUGUUCGGAUUCAUUGGGCGUAAAGGUGCGUAGGUGGCGCGGUAAGUCGGGUGUGAAAUUUCGGAGCUUAACUCCGAAACUGCAUUCGAUACUGCCGUGCUUGAGGACUGGAGAGGAGACUGGAAUUUAACGGUGUAGCAGUGAAAUGCGUAGAGAUCGUAAGGAAGACCAGUGGCGAAGGCGGGUCUCUGGACA